AGCUGGUCCAAUGGUAGUGGUUUACCAAAACUUACUAACAUUGGUGUCACUAAGGUUGGUACACAACUCCCAACUACUAAAUUUGACUGGCUAAAA
ensembl:Y_RNA Y_RNA Y RNA